rnacentral:rRNA from 1 species
GACGUAGGAGGCGAGCGUUAUCCGGAUUCACUGGGCGUAAAGCGCAAGUAGGCGGUUGUGCAAGUCAUGUGUUAAAGCCCCUGGCUCAACUGGGGGAGGUCAUGUGAGACUGCGCGACUUGAGGGCAACAGAGGCAUGUGGAACUCCCGGUGUAGCGGUGGAAUGCGUAGAGAUCGGGAAGAACACCCGUGGCGAAGGCGGCGAUGCUGGGUGCGGACGU